UUAAAAGCCCAUCCGUUAAACCGAUUUAUAUGAAAUUUGAUACAGAGGUAGCUUGCAUACCGGAAAUUUACAUAGGUAAUUUUUCAU